UUCGACCAAUGAAAAAGAAGCAUUUAUUUCUUUUAAGCUCGCAAUAUUCGACACAAACUGGAUUAUUCAGUCUUCACUCUAGAACGUACACACGUGGAUCAAAUUAGAGCUAGCUAGAUCUAGAUCUAAAUCUGUUAAGUUAUUAGUUAUACUACAAGUUAUAGAGCUAUAGAUCUAGGUCUAGUCAAUCUAGACUUUCAUUAAUAUAAUAGAUCUAUUAUAUGAGCUGUAUUUCUUGAUAUCAUAUGUUCUUCAACUCAACCCAGCACUGGCAGCAGCCAUGGAAAUUCGGAAUGGUCGUAACUUAAGCCUAUCACAAGUACUGUUGAAGUACAGAUCAUCAUCAGAGGACGAAUCUCUAAAGUUGCAGAUAUCUACUUGGUAGUCUAAACCUCAAAGGAGCUUAGGGAAGUGAUGGCAGUUGCGGGGUAUGAACCAGACGACCAUGCAGAGACCAUCAAGGCGACUAAACAGUCCAUCGUGCAUACCACAUAACCAGGUCCAGAAUGCCAGUUUUAUUUAAUGGCAGCUGACAAUAAGAAUUGUCUAUGUAUGCACUACAGAUGCUGUUCAAUAUCUUUUCAUGAGGAAGCCUGCUCAAAAAGCUGCUGCAUGGAAGUCAAAAUAUGAAUUAUUGCCACCAGUCUUGAAGUCAGCUUGUAAAGAAUGCUAAGGAUUGAAUGAAAAUGCUGUCUUGAUAUCUUGUUUGUGCUGUUAUAG